rnacentral:ncRNA from 2 species
AUAUCCUGCCCGCCCUCAGGUGCUCUGAUCUUUGAUCAAGUUAAACGGGAAGUUGGUGUCCUCCUUAGCUCCCGCUAAGACAGUCCAACGCUGCCCCCGCAACGGUGAUCGGCUUAGCUGACUGAUACAUAGCCACUGUGAUUGAACUGGUUUUCAUACCAGUAAGUCGU